rnacentral:rRNA from 1 species
AGCAGCCGCGGUAAUUCCAGCUCCAAUAGCGUAUAUUAAAGUUGUUGCAGUUAAAAAGCUCGUAGUUGAAUUUCGAGAUCAAUUUGUCGGUCGUGCCUCGGUACGUACUGGCAUUAUUGAUUUCUCCCUUCUGAAGAACCGCGAUGUCAUUAAUUUGGUGUCGUGGGGAAUUAGGACUGUUACUUUGAAAAAAUUAGAGUGUUUAAAGCAGGCGCGCGCUUGAAUACAUUAGCAUGGAAUAAUGAAAUAGGACGUUUGAUUCUAUUUUGUUGGUUUCUAGGAUCGACGUAAUGAUUAAUAGGGAUAGUUGGGGGCAUUAGUAUUCAAUUGUCAGAGGUUGAAAUUCUUGGAUUUAUUGAAGACUAACUACUGCGAAAGCAUUUGCCAAGGAUGUUUUCAUUAAUUAAGAACGAAAGUUAGGGGAUCGAAGACGAUCAGAUACCGUCGUAGUCUUAACCAUAAACUAUGCCGACUAGGGAUCGGAUGAUGUUAAUUUUUAAUGACUCAUUCGGCGCCUUAC